AACAAUGAUCAAGCCGGUCUUGACCAACCCGUUAUUGCCUCUGUUUUAAUUUCUAUUAACGAAUUAUCAGAAGAUAGUAAAAUUUUAAGUAGCCUUGUUGUUGUUCCUGUCAAUAUAAUGCUUCCAUGAGCCUACAUAUCUUCAAAUAAUGAUCUACGUAAUUAGAAGCAAUUCAAGCUGUGUGUCUAUCCACUGCUGUAAAAUGAGAUUCAAUCUAAUCUGGGUGAUUUCUUCUCUCUAAUUAUUUUUUUUAAAGAAAAUAACACAAGCUGACUGUGUGCUUUUGUCUCUUUGUUUGGUGUAACCGAUCGUUUUUAUGGAGAUUUUUCCAUCAUUUAUAUAAAUGGGGAUUUUGUUUCUUUUUGAAACAUGGCUUACGACGUCAAUUUUAGAGGAUUUAUCGAUGUUUGCAGAACUGUUAUAAAUGAUGUUGUACGUGCCCUAAACAAUGACGACAUGUUCGCUGAUUUGGUUGAAACUUCGGUAAUAAGACUGAAUGCUUUGUGGCGUAAUAUUGGGAGGAUGACCCGGUCCUACCCCCAGUGUGAUAGUCUUAUCCCUUUACUUCAACGCUUAAUCAAUUAUGUUGAAGAAAGACAGAGCUCCCUUACAGUAAAUAGUGGAAUAACACUGCGCAUGAUUGAAACGGCUGGACGCCCAAGGUAUUACAUAUCUAGGAAUCACUUAUUAUUUUUUAUGGAGAUGGGAUUUACUGCAAAACACAUGGCUAGACUGCUACACUUAUCAGUGUCAAGCAUUCAACGACGGUUGAGAUCUUUUGGAAUAAGUCUAAGAAGACGAUACACCAAAAUCUCUGACACUGAAUUAGACGUUUGGGUUCGACGCAUUACCCAGUUUAAUAGAUCUUGUGGGCAAAGACUAGUUCAAGGUACACUGGCGUCAGAAGGUGUUGUGAUACAAAGGUCAAGAGUUGCACAAUCACUUAUUCGAGUUGAUGAGGCAGGUAUAGCAAUAAGGUGGGCUAGGACAAUACAUAGGAGAUCUUAUAAUGUAUCUGGACCAAACGCCCUUUGGCAUGUUGAUGGAAAUCAUAAACUAAU